rnacentral:rRNA from 1 species
AUUGAACGCUGGCGGCAUGCCUUACACAUGCAAGUCGAACGGUAACAGGUCUUUCGGGAUGCUGACGAGUGGCGAACGGGUGAGUAAUACAUCGGAACGUGCCUAGUAGUGGGGGAUAACUACUCGAAAGAGUGGCUAAUACCGCAUGAGAUCUAUGGAUGAAAGCAGGGGACCUUCGGGCCUUGUGCUACUAGAGCGGCCGAUGGCAGAUUAGGUAGUUGGUGGGAUAAAAGCUUACCAAGCCGACGAUCUGUAGCUGGUCUGAGAGGACGAUCAGCCACACUGGGACUGAGACACGGCCCAGACUCCUACGGGAGGCAACAGGGGGGAAUUUUGGACAAUGGGCGCAAGCCUGAUCCAGCAAUGCCGCGUGCAGGAUGAAGGCCUUCGGGUUGUAAACUGCUUUUGUACGGAACGAAAAGCCCCGGGUUAAUACCCUGGGGUCAUGACGGUACCGUAAGAAUAAGCACCGGCUAACUACGUGCCAGCCGCCGCGGUAAUAC